UUUAAAUAUAAUUUUAUUAAAAUAAGAAAAUUUUAUUUUAUUAUUAAUUAGAAAAAAUUAAUUUUAUUAUAGUCUAUUAUUAUUGUGAAAGAAUUAAAAAUUUAUAUAAAAGAAAAAUUUGAUUUUUGUACCUUGUGUAUCAGGGUUUAUUAAAUAUAAAUUUAUUUAAAUUUAUCUCGAAUUUAAAAGAGCUAAGAAGUUAUAUUUUUUAAUGUGGAAUAAUUAUUAAAAAUAACUUUUUUGUAAUGAAAUGUUAUUCGUUUUUAAAUAUAUCUAGUUUUUUAAGAAAUAAAUUUAAUUUAAUUAUUAAUUGAAUAAAAAAUUAAGUUUUUAAUUUUUUAUUAUUAAUAUUAAACAUUUUUAGGGAUGAGCUUAAAAAUGAAUUUUUAUUAAUUUGUAAAUUAAAUAAAAUUGUAGGAUUAAAAUUUUUUAUCAAUAAAAAAAUGUUAUAAUUAAUUUAUGAUUAAAUAUUAUUUUUAUAAAUAUAUUAAAUUUUUUAUUAAAAUGUUAGUUAAAAUAUUAAAAAUUAAUUAAUUAUGAUAAAAUUAGUAUAAGUUAUUAUGUAAAUAUAAAGAUUACAUAUAGGUUAAAUAAAGGAAUUCGGCAAAUUAUUUUUUACCUGUUUAUUAAAAACAUGUCUUUUUGAUUAUAAUUUAAAGUCUAGCCUGCCCAAUGAUAAUUGAAUGGCCGCGGUAUUUUGACCGUGCUAAGGUAGCAUAAUCAAUAGUUUUUUAAUUGAAAGCUGGAAUGAAGGGUUGGAUAAAAAAAUAACUGUCUUUAUUUAAUUUAAUUAGAAUUUUAUAUUUAAGUUAAAAAGCUUAAAUAUUGUUAAAAGACGAGAAGACCCUAUAGAGUUUAAUAGAUUAUUAAAUUAAUAUAUUUAGAAUUUAUUUUAUUAAUUGAUUAAUUUAUUUAAUUGGGGUGAUUAAAAAAUUAAAUGAACUUUUUUUGUAUUUUUACAUUUAUAAAUGAGUUUUUGAUCCAUAAUUAAUGAUUAUAAGAUAAAAUUACCUUAGGGAUAACAGCGUUAUUUUUUUUUAGAGUUCAAAUCGAAAAAAAAGAUUGCGACCUCGAUGUUGGAUUAAAAUUAAUUUUUGGUGUAGAAGCUAAAAUAUUAGGUCUGUUCGACCUUUAAAAUUUUACAUGAUCUGAGUUUAAACCGGUGUAAGCCAGGUUGGUUUCUAUCUUUAAUAAAUAAAAAUGCUUUAGUACGAAAGGAUCAAGUAUUUAAUUAAUAAUUUUUAUAUGAAUAAU
rnacentral:rRNA from 1 species